CCAGUUGUCGCUGCUACAGGUGGUUUCCAUGAGAGGAAGGAGACAGACGUAGUUUCAAAACAAAUGCUUUGGAGGAAUAAUGCAAUGGAUCAUUUAAGGGAAAGGUUCCUUAGAAGAUAGGAAACAAAUCAGUCGGCCGCGACACAGACACUGAGUGGUUUUCACCGGUGAAUUUGGACAGGUCCCCAGCUGUUCCCAAGGCACCGGGGAAGUCACAGUCAGAUGGACACCUGCCUUCAAGUGAGCUUCUCCGGUAAGGAAAUCACUUUGACCGCAAUGGCACAGCCUCACCGACAUCAGGAGACUGGCCCAUCCACUCAAGUGAGAAGCCCAGAAUCAAGAAGGAAGUGUAGACAACUCUAAAUACCCUAAAAACCAAUGAAUGGUACACUUCAAACAGACGGAAGCUCCUUGAGGGCUGAGACUUUGUUUUGUUCGCUGCUGUGCCUCUGGUGCCCGGCACAGAGCAGAUACUCAUUAAAUAAUUAGUGGAUGUCUGGAUGCGUGCUGUGAACACCACAGGCCUGGAUGAAUGGACAUUUCACAUGCGGGAAGGACAGGAAGACUGGAUUUGCUGAAGGACACAUCGUAAGUUACCUGAGUAGAUUUCAUUUUCAGAUUCUUCUCAGGAUAGA